rnacentral:rRNA from 1 species
UACGUAGGCAGCAAGCGUUGUUCGGAAUUACUGGGCGUAAAGAGUGUGUAGGCGGUGCUCCAAGUCUGGUGUGAAAUUCCCUGGCUUAACUGGGGGCGUGCGGGCGAUACGGGCAGACUGGAGUACUGCAGGGGAGACGUGGAAUUCCUGGUGUAGCGGUGGAAUGCGCAGAUAUCAGGAGGAACACCGGUGGCGAAGGCGGGUCUCUGGGCAGUAACUGACGCUGAGGAGCGAAAGCGUGGGGAGCGAACAGG